rnacentral:rRNA from 1 species
UUCGCAAUGCCCGAAAGGGUGACGAAGCGACGCCGCGUGCGGGAAGAAGGCCUUCGGGUUGUAAACCGCUGUCGGGAGUUAGGAAAUGCAAGGAUGUUAAUAGCAUUCUUGCUUGACUAAGGCUCCGGAGGAAGCCACGGCUAACUCUGUGCCAGCAGCCGCGGUAAUACAGAGGCGGCAAGCGUUGUUCGGAAUUAUUGGGCGUAAAGAGCACGUAGGCGGCCUUGCAAGUCAGUUGUGAAAGCCUUCCGCUUAACGGAAGAACGGCAUCUGAUACUACAGGGCUUGAGUACGGGAGGGGAGAGUGGAACUUCUGGUGGAGCGGUGAAAUGCGUAGAUAUCAGAAGGAACGCCGGCGGCGAAAGCGACUCUCUGGUCCGAAACUGACGCUGAGUGUGCGAAAGCUAGGGGAGCAAACGGGAUUAGAUACCCCGGUAGUCCUAGCCGUAAACGAUGGGCACUAAGUAGAGGGGUUUUA